CCCCUAGAUGUUCUGGGUCGCACGCGCGCUACACUGAACAGUUCAACAAGUCUUAACCUUGGCCGAUAGGUCUGGGUAAUCUUUGAACGCUGUUCGUGAUUGGGAUAGACCUUUGCAAUUAUGGGUCUUCAACGAGGAAUUCCUAGUAAACGCAAGUCAUCAGCUUGCAUUGAUUACGUCCCUGCCCUUUGUACACACCGCCCGUCGCACCUACCGAUUGAAUGGUCCGGUGAAAUCUCCGGACUGGCGUGAGUCGGAGCAAUCUGACAAACGCCGGAAAGUUGAUUAAACCUUACCAUUUAGAGGAAGGUGAAGUCGUAACA
rnacentral:rRNA from 1 species